UUCUCUCUUUGUGCUAAAUUAAUGGCUUUCUUGUGUAAUAUGAGUUCUCUUCUCACCAGGUUUGACCUCUCCUUUGACCCCCAGUACAGCACUGAAUCCUACAUCAGAAACAGCUGUGAAAUUAUGGCAGGGAGCAGUGGGUGUGGCUUCUGGAGUGGGCGUGUUCCUGAUGGGAUUGACAGCUGUUUAUCUUUGCAGGAGGACC